UGAUUUUCCAACAAAAACCGACGCAAUGACGAAAACCGAACGGCAGAACCCACCACGCAGGUCUCCCAUCCAAAUAUCCAAUCCACUUCCCAUCUCCCUGUCCCUGAUCCUCACAAUCGUCUCCGAUGCCGCCGCCCCAAAUUUGGAUUCGGGGCCUCCCCGUGAUCUCUACCGGCAGCGCCGCGCCUAGCCAGCUGUGGCCUCCCCAAGUCUCCUCUCCAGAGACCCCGUGAUGUCGCCGCCACGCAGUCUGUACCAACGUCGUGCAGGGCGCAGCCUCCAUGACCCACGUUCUCCCCACGCCGUCGCCUCCCCCAUAUCUCCAUCGGCGGCGGCGCACCGGCCACAGCCUCCCCACGCUAAUAGGAGGACAACCACGCUCUUCUUUUGAUCCAGGUGGCUGUGAUGCGAUGAGCGUUGGAGGGCACCGCCUGGAGUCUCGGCCAUCACAUCUCAGAUAUUGCUUCUGCUCAAUCCAUUCAUACUACCAAGAUGAAGACGAGGAUUUGUGUCACCGGGCCUUUGGCGCUUCUUACUAUUGAUUCAUUGAAGUACGUAUACAAAUGGUUGCGAUAGGAGGAGGAGGAGGAGGAGCAACCGGCAACGAUGGCGGACAUGAGUGCAUUCCUGUAUUAGGAGGGGCCCUUUAAGAUUAGGUAAGCUUUGCUGCGAUGGCUGCAUGCACUGCACCUGCAUGGAACUCGCAACUUAAGCCUCCUGCAAAAUCACAGAUCUGCGUUUUUAAUGACGCGGCAUGGUUUAAAACUUUUUAUUUAUUUGAUCCGCCAUGCUCGAGCAGUAAUAGUCUAAGCUUCACCGUGUAAUAAGCUCCACCUGCGUGCACUAAGAUGUUCCGGUACUGCUGCUGUUUAUGUUUGUUAUAUUUGCUACCAGUUUGAUUGAUUACUAUUAUCUACUGUAC
rnacentral:rRNA from 1 species